CACCUGAGAUGUAAGCCCAGUCUGCCGAAGGGCUCCCAUGUAGUCGAGUUUAUAGGAGACAGGCCGUAAAGAGCCGCCAUCUAAAAAUGAGAUACCCAGCACUUUAAAAAUAUUGACACCUACUCGUUAGAAAAUGAUCGCCAACAUGAAAGCAAAGCUCAGGCUGUUCACCAUCUACGCGCGCGUGCGUCUGACAGAUUACAAGCUGUGGCUGCGGCCAACACUGCAGUGCAAAUUAGCAUUAAUAACACUAUUUGAUUCCAAAUAAAAAGAGCAAACAAAUGCGAACAAGCACACCUGGCUGGACAAAUUCAGUCAACAGAUGGGUACACGGCAGGCCAGUAAUUGUAGAGCAAAAAAAAAUGCUAAUGAGCAUUCACGGCAGGGCGCAAUCACAUAAAAACAGGGGGGAUUGACUCAUAUGCUUGGCCAGCAUGGUGUCAGAGGUGACGGCGGUGCCAGGAAUGGGGUGGCUGAGAGUGGGACUUGUCGCUGUUUGAGUCUUGGUGUUCCAGCUGCUGGCCGGACCCGCCGUUCUUCUCUGCCAUCACUACAACUCCUGGCUAACAUGUGCAGAUAUUGAACAUUUUUACUUUGUAGCCUGUUCCUGUGGAGGGCCAGUUGUAAAACCAAAUGCCACAACAUGGUGUUAAUCCUAGACCUGCAGUUUGGUGAAAAAAAUAAAUAAUCUGUCCAGAAUGUUAUUUUUGACAGGAAGAAGACAGUGUAGUGUAGCAGAAGUAAAAGAAGAAGAAAGAAGCAGGCAGAAGUAUAGAACGGCAUGGUAAUGGUGAGGUGUAGAGAUCCAACAGCAGAGUGAAAUAGCCAGGGCAGAAGGAGCAGAGCCCCAACUGACUGGAGCCUGGUUUUUCCGGACGUUUCUUCCUGCUAAAAAGGAGUUUUUCAUCCCCACAGUCACCAUGUGUUUGCUCAUAGGGGGUCAUCUGCUUGUUGGGGUGUUCUUUGUGUUAUUGUAGGGUCUUUCUCUUCCAGUAUAUAGCGCUGUGUAUUUAUAUAUAUAUUUGCUUUAUAAAUAAAACUGAAUUGAGUUGGAUAAUGCUUUUUGUGAUGGGGUGGAGGGUUUUUGGCUCUGUAUCCAUAUUUUUACCUAUAUUGCUCUAUUUGACCCUUGUAUGUUGGACUUGUGUGCACACUAUUAAAGGACUACA